AUUCUUUUAGUAUAAUCAUUAUAUUUGACUUCCAAUCAAAAGAUCUUGAAUAUAACAAGAAAGAAUA
rnacentral:tRNA from 2 species